rnacentral:lncRNA from 1 species
CAGGAGAGGAGAUGGGGUGGGUAGUAGGGAAUCCGGACUGAGGCUGAGGGCAAGGAGAUUAGGAACCAGGUAAGCAGGUCUGGAGAAGAAUCCAAUGACGCAGUAGAGCGGGGAUCCAGGGCAAGGAAGCAGGACUGAAGAGACGAGGGACUGGAGACAGGUACCAGAGUCAGAGCAGACGGGACUGUAGCAGAGAGAAAAAGCAGCGUGAGGCUAGGAACAAACAGCUAGAAAUGCAGACUGACUGAGUAGAGGCUACGAUCUGGCAGCGUGGAAGUGGCAGGGCUGAGUAUUUGUAGAGGUCUUGAUUACGGAACAGGUUGCAGCUGGUGGGAUUUGGUUACCACAGGGUUAACAGGGUUACCACAGGGUUAACAGGGUUACCACACGUUACCACAGCGUUACCACAGGGUUAACAGCAUUACCACAGGGUUAACAACAUUACCACAGGGUUAACAGGGUUACCACACGCUACCACAGCGUUACCACACGUUACCACAGGUUACCACAGCGUUACCACAUGGUUGCCACAGGGUUUACAAGGUCACCACAGGGUUAACAGGGUUACCACACGCUACCACAGCGUUACCACAGCGUUAACAGGGUUACCACAGAGUUACCACAGGGUUACCACAGUGUUACCACAGGGUUUACAAGGUUACCACAGCGUUACCACAGCGUUACCAAAGGGUUAACAGCAUUACCACAGCGUUACCACAGCGUUAAGAGGGUUACCACAGCAUUACCACAGGGUUAACAGCGUUAUCACAGGGUUACCACAGCGUUACCAAAGUGUUAACAGUAUUACCACAGCGUUACCACAGCGUUACCAGCGUUACCACAGCGUUAACAGGGUUACCACAGCGUUAACAGGUUUACCACAGCGUUAACAGCGCUAGCACAGCGUUAUCACAGUGUUAACGCAGAGUUAACAGGGUUACCACAGCGUUACCACAGCGUUAACAGGGUUACCACAGCGUUAACAGGGUUACCACAGCGUUAACAGGGUUACCACAUCGUUACCACAGCGUUAACAGCAUUACCACAGCGUUAACAGGGUUACCACAGUGUUACCACAGCAUUAACAGGGUUACCACAGCGUUAACAGGGUUACCACAGCGUUACCACAGUGGUAACAGGGUUACCACAGCGUUAACAGGUUUACCACAGCAUUAACAGGGUUACCACAGCGUUAACAGGGUUACCACAGGGUUAACAGCGUCACCACAGGGUUAACAGGGUUACCACAGCAUUACCACAGGCUUACCACAGGGUUACCACAGCGUUACCACAGGGUUAACAGUGUCACUACAGGGUUAACAGGGUUACCACAGCAUUACCACAGGGUUAACAGCAUUACCACAGCGUUAACAGGGUUACCACAGCGUUAACAGCAUUACCACAGGGUUACCACAGCGUUAACAGCAUACACAGAUACAUUUUCAGUUUAAAGAUCAAAUGUAGCAGUUGUCAGUCUUGUAAAUACACAUUCAUGUUUAUUACCAAUUCAUCUGACUAUACAUCAUUACACUUUUAGACAUUUGAUUUAAAACAUUCAUUUUUUUUCCCCACAAUCUUGCUUUUUCUUCUUUAAAAGAAAAACAUUUAAUUAUAUUUAUCUCAUAGUAACAACUGUACAAGGACAGUAAAGUAGUACAAUCAUCUACUUAAACAUGGAUCUUAAUUUAAAUUAAAUUGUGACAACAAAAUGACAGCUGAAGAUAGCUCACCAUGGUUCUUUUCGAUCGCGGGUUUGGACAAUGCGCAAUUUAAAGGUUAUUUUUUUGAUUAAGUCGACAUAUGGAGCAUUGAAUGUGUCUCUGCAAAACGCAGGAACAUUACCUUUUAAAAACGCGCAUUACGGACAAAGUGCGAUCGGAGUAAAUCCCGUCCCUUUAGGGGUCUAUUCAGUCUGUAAAAGGUAAAGCAGUGACACAUUCCAUGAAAGAAAUGUAAAGGUAAUUUUCCGAUUGGACCGACACGUGGAAUGCAGUCUCCGUUAAAGCGGGAAACAUGGCCUUUACAUUUCAAUCACGCUGCGAAGCUGAAGUUACGCGAUGCGGAUUGAAUAGAGCCCCUUAGUCGAGUGUUUACAUCCCAGCGGCAUGACAGAGCACAGUGACAGCAGUAGCUUGUAUGUACAUGCACUAAAGUGCUAGAGUGUUGUUGUUUUUUUACAAAGGCAUGCAGAGCAAAUACGAUUGCAUCCCAAAUAGCACUCUAUUUGCUACAUAGUGCAUUACUUUUGACCAGAGCCCUAUGGUGAAUGCAUUCAGUUGUAUAACUGACUAGGUAUCCCACCCACCCCCUCCCCCCUUUCCCUAUGUGAAUAGGAUGCCAUUUGGGAUAACAGCCUAUGUAACUGAUAAUUGUUACAACUUCCUUCCACAUAUGCAUAAGGGUUAUUCAGUUGCUAUCUUCCCUCUCUUCUUCUACACGUUUACAGAGUUGAACAUUCAUUUCAAACAUAUAGAAAUACAUAUAUUAGCAUCGUAACUGACAUCAUGGAUUCACCUGCCUCAGCCAACAGGAAGCAGUAUUUUUUAUAUUUUUUUGUCUUAAAACAUUUGUUUGUUUGUUUAUUCUACAAAUACAAGUGUCUGACUUCAAGCUUCGAAGGAACAAACAGUAACAUAAGAUAUGUUCAACUGAAUAAGAAAAUAGUUUAAGAGUAUUUACACACAGCACAGAAUAUAACAAAUGAUACGUAUAUGCAGAAUAAACAAAAACAUAAACCAACAGAAAAUGUGUAUACCUUUAUGUUCAUACCGGUAUUAGCAUAACGGUUUUAUAGUUCUCUCAACAUCUGAAAAUGUGUUUAUUAUAUGACUAAUAUAUAUAUACAGUACCAGUCAAGAGUUUGGACACACCUACUCAUUCAAGGGUUUUUCUUUAUUUUUACUAUUUUCUACAUUGUAGAAUAAU